rnacentral:rRNA from 1 species
CCUACGGGAGGCAGCAGUGGGGAAUAUUGCACAAUGGGGGAAACCCUGAUGCAGCGACGCCGCGUGAGUGAAGAAGUAUUUCGGUAUGUAAAGCUCUAUCAGCAGGGAAGAAAAUGACGGUACUUGAUUAAGAAGCCCCGGCUAACUACGUGCCAGCAGCCGCGGUAAUACGUAGGGGGCAAGCGUUAUCCGGGUUUACUGGGUGUAAAGGGAGCGUAGACGGCAGUACAAGUCUGGGGUGAAAUGCCGGGGCGUAACCCCGGAACUGUUUUGGAAACUGUGGAGCUAGAUUGCAGGAGAGGGAGGUGGAAUUCCUGGGUGAGCGGUGAAAUGCG